rnacentral:sRNA from 1 species
AGUUCACAUAUUAAAU